GGCGAGAUGGCCGAGCGGUCUAAGGCGCCAGACUAAGGUGAGGAGUUUGUUCCUCAUGGGAUCUGGUCCGAAAGGGCGUGGGUUCGAAUCCCACUCUCGUCA